rnacentral:lncRNA from 1 species
GCUCCAACAAUCCAAGCUCCUUGAAUGGCAUGCACGGCUCCAAGAGUCUCCUUGAUGCGAAAUAUUAUAAGCACACAAAUUAAACCCUCUUUUUGACAAUUGUAGUAUAUGUGUAAGUAGGGUAUUGUUCUAAACCGGGGAUUAGGAGGGCUUGCUAAAACCUCUAAACUGACUCAAAAACAAAAAGAAACAAAGUUAAAAAUGUAAACCAAAAACUUUUAAAACAAGAAAGUAAAAGGGGGAUUUGGGUUUGGUGA